ACCUGAAAAGAUGGUUGACCAUAGCACAUGCGCUUUCUCCGUGUCGUAUGUAAUAUGGUCCACGUCUUCUCACUAUC
rnacentral:miRNA from 1 species